GAUGAACGCUAGCGGCAGGCUUAAUACAUGCAAGUCGUGGGGCAGCAGGUUUGUAGCAAUACAGAUGCUGGCGACCGGCAAACGGGUGCGGAACACGUACAGAACCUUCCUUUGAGCGGGGAAUAGCCCAGAGAAAUUUGGAUUAAUACCCCAUAGUAUAAUGAAGUGGCAUCACUUUAUUAUUAAGAUUUAUCACUCGAAGAUGGCUGUGCGGCUGAUUAGGUAGUUGGCGGGGUAAAGGCCCACCAAGCCUGCGAUCAGUAACUGGUGUGAGAGCACGACCAGUCACACGGGCACUGAGACACGGGCCCGACUCCUACGGGAGGCAGCAGUAAGGAAUAUUGGUCAAUGGAGGCAACUCUGAACCAGCCAUGCCGCGUGGAGGAUGAAGGUCCUCUGGAUUGUAAACCUCUUUAUAUGGGACGAAAGAAGGCUUUUCUAAGUCGUCUGACGGUACCAUAUGAAUAAGCACCGGCUAACUCCGUGCCAGCAGCCG
rnacentral:rRNA from 1 species